GUACUCUGGCUUCUCUUCAGUUGUCGAAUAAAUCUUUCGCCUAAGAUUUCCGUGGAGAGGAGCACUCUAAUGAGUCUAAAUUAAUUUUUGCUAGUGCCUGGUUGCAAGAUCG